rnacentral:rRNA from 1 species
AACGAACGCUGGCGGCAUGCCUAACACAUGCAAGUCGAACGAGACCUUCGGGUCUAGCGGCGCACGGGUGCGUAACGCGUGGGAACCUGCCCUUAGGUUCGGAAUAACUCCCCGAAAGGGGUGCUAAUACCGGAUAAUGUCUUCGGACCAAAGAUUUAUCGCCUUUGGAUGGGCCCGCGUUGGAUUAGCUAGUUGGUAGGGUAAAAGUCUACCAAGGCGACGAUCCAUAGCUGGUCUGAGAGGAUGAUCAGCCACACUGGGACUGAGACACGGCCCAGACUCCUACGGGAGGCAGCAGUGGGGAAUAUUGGACAAUGGGCGAAAGCCUGAUCCAGCAAUGCCGCGUGAGUGAUGAAGGCCCUAGGGUUGUAAAGCUCUUUUACCCGGGAUGAUAAUGACAGUACCGGGAGAAUAAGCGCCGGCUAACUCCGUG